GAACGAACGCUGGCGGCAUGCCUAACACAUGCAAGUCGACCGAGACCUUCGGGUCUAGUGGCGCACGGGUGCGUAACGCGUGGGAACCUGCCCUUAGGUUCGGAAUAACUCCCCGAAAGGGGUGCUAAUACCGGAUAAUGUCUUCGGACCAAAGAUUUAUCGCCUUUGGAUGGGCCCGCGUUGGAUUAGCUAGUUGGUAGGGUAAAAGCCUACCAAGGCGACGAUCCAUAGCUGGUCUGAGAGGAUGAUCAGCCACACUGGGACUGAGACACGGCCCAGACUCCUACGGGAGGCAGCAGUGGGGAAUAUUGGACAAUGGGCGAAAGCCUGAUCCAGCAAUGCCGCGUGAGUGAUGAAGGCCUUAGGGUUGUAAAGCUCUUUUACCCGGGAUGAUAAUGACAGUACCGGGAGAAUAAGCGCCGGCUAACUCCGUG
rnacentral:rRNA from 1 species